UUGGGGAGGGAAAACGAAACGAAAAACCCUAAUCGAUUGCUGAUUGUUUCUCCCCACGGUAACUCUGCGUCGUUGCUGAUGGUUCUUGCUUUUCCGUCUAUGCCACCUCACUCCUGGUAUUCUUCAUCCAGGUCUUUAUAUUUAAAGAUUCAUUGUCAUUGAAGUGGUAUUCUCAAUCCAUGUCUUUAUUAUAUGGGGCCUUUAAUUCAUUUUUCUGCAAUUUUGGGGAAAUUUCAACUCUUUCAUUUUGAUUUCAUCAUUUCUUGUUGGAGAACUAUGAAUUUCGUGAUUUCAUUGCUCAAUUCAUUUUAAAUAUAGCAUUAUUCCCAAUUUCAAGUAGGUUUUUGAUCUGUUUUUGUGUUCCCUCUAAGUCUAAAGAUACACAGGCACUUAGACUCCUUGAUGAUCAAAGCUGUAGAUGAACUCAUGAACGUGGUCUAUAUGCUCUUUGAUGGAUUGGAACCUGGAACAUCAACUGUUUCAGUUGUCACAAGAAGAAUAUUAUGACCAUUGGAGCUCAAGACAGCUUGCUGCAGCUGCCAAACUUAUCGAAGCAAGGCAUACUAAGAAUCAGAGGACGAG
rnacentral:lncRNA from 1 species